UACGAAGGGUGCAAGCGUUGUUCGGAAUUAUUGGGCGUAAAGCGCGUGUAGGCGGCUUUGCAAGUCGGAUGUGAAAGCCCCUGGCUCAACUGGGGAAGUGCACCCGAAACUGAGUGGCUUGAGUGCGAAAGAGGGUCGCGGAAUUCCCGGUGUAGAGGUGAAAUUCGUAGAUAUCGGGAGGAACACCAGUGGCGAAGGCGACUACCUGGCCGUGUUCUUGACGCUGAGGCGCGAAAGCUAGGGGGAGCAAACGG
rnacentral:rRNA from 1 species